GAAUGCGAUCAUACCAGCACUAAAGCACCGGAUCCCAUCAGAACUUCGAAGUUAAGCGUGCUUGGGCAAAGUAGUACAGUGAUGGGUGACCUCCUAGGAAGUCCUCGUGUUGCAUUCC